rnacentral:rRNA from 1 species
UACGGAGGGUGCAAACGUUGCUCGGAAUCAUUGGGCGUAAAGCGCACGUAGGCGGGCUGUUAAGUCGGACGUGAAAUCCCUCAGCUUAACUGAGGAAGUGCAUUCGAAACUGGCAGUCUUGAGUACGGGAGAGGGUCGCGGAAUUCCCGGUGUAGAGGUGAAAUUCGUAGAUAUCGGGAGGAACACCAGUGGCGAAGGCGGCGGCCUGGACCGAUACUGACGCUGAGGUGCGAAAGCGUGGGGAGCAAACAGG